GGGGACCUAGUUCAAACCAACAAACCAACAAAGAAGACAAAUCUAAGUGGGGAUUUAAAAUACUCCUAACUGUCACUUGCAGGUAGUAAUAGAUAUAUGAUACAUAUGCUAAUGAUCAUGACUAAAAUUUACACAUUUACAAUGACUCUUCAUACAAAUCAGUAACAACAAACAAAUUGCUAAAAAUUGGGAGUAGGUAGAUGAAUAUAGUACUUAGACACAGUCG
rnacentral:lncRNA from 1 species